GACGAACGCUGGCGGCGUGCUUAACACAUGCAAGUCGAACGGAAAGGCCCUGCUUUUGUGGGGUGCUCGAGUGGCGAACGGGUGAGUAACACGUGAGUAACCUGCCCUUGACUUUGGGAUAACUUCAGGAAACUGGGGCUAAUACCGGAUAGGAGCUCCUGCUGCAUGGUGGGGGUUGGAAAGUUUCGGCGGUUGGGGAUGGACUCGCGGCUUAUCAGCUUGUUGGUGGGGUAGUGGCUUACCAAGGCUUUGACGGGUAGCCGGCCUGAGAGGGUGACCGGCCACAUUGGGACUGAGAUACGGCCCAGACUCCUACGGGAGGGAGCAGUGGGGAAUAUUGCACAAUGGGCGGAAGCCUGAUGCAGCAACGCCGCGUGCGGGAUGACGGCCUUCGGGUUGUAAACCACUUUCGCCUGUGACGAAGCGUGAGUGACGGUAAUGGGUAAAGAAGCACCGGCUAACUACGUG
rnacentral:rRNA from 1 species